GGGGAAUAUUGCGCAAUGGGGGAAACCCUGACGCAGCAACGCCGCGUGAAGGAAGAAGGCCUUCGGGUUGUAAACUUUUGUCUUUAGGGAAGAAAAAAAUGACGGUACCUAAGGAGGAAGCCACGGCUAACUACGUGCCAGCAGCCGCGGUAAUACGUAGGUGGCAAGCGUUAUCCGGAUUUACUGGGUGUAAAGGGAGCGUAGGCGGGACUUUAAGUCAGAUGUGAAAUGCUGGGGCUCAACCCCAGAGCUGCAUUUGAAACUGGAGUUCUUGAGUGUCGGAGAGGUAAGUGGAAUUCCUAGUGUAGCGGUGAAAUGCGUAGAUAUUAGGAGGAACACCAGUGGCGAAGGCGACUUACUGGACGAUAACUGACGCUGAGGCUCGAAAGUGUGGGGAGCAAAC
rnacentral:rRNA from 1 species